GNAUUUAUUGGGCGUAAAGCGAGCGCAGGCGGUUAGAUAANUCUGAAGUUAAAGGCUGUGGCUUAACCAUAGUACGCUUUGGAANCUGUUUAACUUGAGUGCAGAAGGGGAGAGUGGAAUNCCAUGUGUAGCGGUGAAAUGCGUAGAUAUAUGGAGGAACACCGGUGGCGAAAGCGGCUCUCCGGUCUGUAACUGACGCUGAGGCUNGAAAGCGUGGGGAGCGAACAGGAUUAGAUACCCUGGUAGUNCACGCCGUAAACGAUGAGUGCUAGGUGUUAGGCCCUUUCCGGGGCUUAGUGCCGCAGCUAACGCAUUAAGCACUCCGCCUGGGGAGUACGACCGCAAGGUUGAAACUCAAAGGAAUUGACGGGGGCCCGCACAAGCUGUGGAGCAUGUGGUUUAAUUCGAAGCAACGCGAAGAACCUUACCAGGUCUUGACAUCCCGAUGCCCGCUCUAGAGAUAGAGUUUUACUUCGGUACAUCGGUGACAGGUGGUGCAUGGUUGUCGUCAGCUCGUGUCGUGAGAUGUUGGGUUAAGUCCCGCAACGAGCGCAACCCUUAUUGUUAGUUGCCAUCAUUCAGUUGGGCACUCUAGCGAGACUGCCGGUAAUAAACCGGAGGAAGGUGGGGAUGACGUCAAAUCAUCAUGCCCCUUAUGACCUGGGCUACACACGUGCUACAAUGGCUGUACAACGAGUCGCAAGUCGGUGACGGCAAGCUAAUCUCUUAAAGCCAGUCUCAGUUCGGAUUGUAGGCUGCAACUCGCCUACAUGAAGUCGGAAUCGCUAGUAAUCGCGGAUCAGCACGCCGCGGUGAAUACGUUCCCGGGCCUUGUACACACCGCCCGUCACACCACGAGAGUUUGUAACACCCGAAGUCGGUGAGGUANCCUUUUAGGAGCCAGCCGC
rnacentral:rRNA from 1 species